CUGCUUGGAGGCAGUGCUUUCAGGAGGACAACAGGAGUUAUGUGGGCCCUUCUUUCCUGCCUGAAUCCUGUGGAGGAAGAAGCAUUCACGUUCACAUGCUAUUCCUUGUUUCAAGAUUAUUUAAGGAACCACCGCUGUUGAACUAGCAGGGGAUCUUUCCUUCGCUGACCUUUGCCAGAGCAGCUGAUUGGUGUGCCCCAGCUGCAGGCCAUCAUCUUCUUGGGAAAGUUUUAAGAUUGCCAGAAAAAUGAUCAUCUUCUUUCCUAGCCCUUACUGAUGUGUAUGGGCUUUGCUGGCCUUUCCAACUCCAGUGUGGGAGGGGUUGUUUGUUUUCCUUUUAAAUGUUAUCCUGCCAUCCUCCUUUUUUAACAAUGCUGUAUAUACAUGAAGACUUGCUGAGUAUUCAGUGCGGCACAUGGAUGGAGUGGAUGCUUUGAACUGCUUUUGCAACAAUGGAUUCUGCUUGACUGAUAAUGAAACCAUGGGAUAGACCUCAGGGAGUGGUAAAGAGAUGAGGGAUCCUGAGGUCACUGUGCCAUGUGGGACAUCAACUGAAUGUGCCAAGAAUAUGAACAUGAAUAUGAGUCUUCUCACAAUAACUUGUACAGCACUGUGUGCUCUCCACUCUGAUGCUGCAUUACAAUAA
rnacentral:lncRNA from 1 species